rnacentral:rRNA from 1 species
UACAGAGGGUGCAAACGUUGCUCGGAAUCAUUGGGCGUAAAGCGCACGUAGGCGGCCUAGCAAGUAGGGAGUGAAAGCCCUCGGCUUAACCGAGGAAGUGCUUUCUAAACUACUAGGCUUGAAUACUGGAGAGGGUCGCGGAAUUCCCGGUGUAGAGGUGAAAUUCGUAGAUAUCGGGAGGAACACCAGUGGCGAAGGCGGCGACCUGGACAGAUAUUGACGCUGAGGUGCGAAAGCGUGGGGAGCGAACAGG